GGACUACCGGGGUUUCUAAUCCUGUUUGCUACCCACGCUUUCGCGUCUCAGCGUCAGUAUCCGUCCAGGUGGCCGCCUUCGCCACUGGUGUUCCUCCCGAUAUCUACGAAUUUCACCUCUACACCGGGAAUUCCGCCACCCUCUCCGGUACUCAAGUCUCGUAGUUUUGGGCGCACUUCCUCGGUUAAGCCGAGGGCUUUCACACCCAACUUGCGAGACCGCCUACACGCGCUUUACGCCCAAUAAUUCCGAACAACGCUAGCACCCUCUGUAUUACCGCGGCUGCUGGCAC
rnacentral:rRNA from 1 species